CACAACAUAGGAUUCCGAAUCAGUUAGGAGUCAUGGUUCCACUAAAAAUUGGUGCUGCUGAGGCCUCAGGUCAUUUUUUAGAGUCAUCACCAAGAAGAAGGCCUUCACCAGAUGUGUUCCCUGGACCUUGGACUUCCCAGCCUCCAAACUAUGUAAACUGAAUACAUAUGGAAAAAGACAUGGCACGUGGGGUCAUUGAAGAAAGAAGG